rnacentral:pre_miRNA from 1 species
AUUUUUAUAAUUUGUAUAGAGUUGAAACGUUUGCCUACGUUUUCAGCUAGGGGCGCUGUUCUAACUGCACACAAAUUUGAGUUA